rnacentral:rRNA from 1 species
UACGUAGGGGGCAAGCGUUGUCCGGAUUUAUUGGGCGUAAAGAGCGUGUAGGCGGCCAUACAGGUCCGUUGUGAAAACUCGAGGCUCAACCUCGAGACGUCGAUGGAAACCGUAUGGCUAGAGUCCGGAAGAGGAGAGUGGAAUUCCUGGUGUAGCGGUGAAAUGCGCAGAUAUCAGGAAGAACACCCGUGGCGAAGGCGGCUCUCUGGGACGGUACUGACGCUGAGGCGCGAAAGCGUGGGGAGCGAACGGG